rnacentral:rRNA from 1 species
AGUGAACGCUGGCGGUAGGCCUAACACAUGCAAGUCGAACGGCAGCACAGUAAGAGCUUGCUCUUACGGGUGGCGAGUGGCGGACGGGUGAGGAAUACAUCGGAAUCUACUUUUUCGUGGGGGAUAACGUAGGGAAACUUACGCUAAUACCGCAUACGACCUACGGGUGAAAGCAGGGGAUCUUCGGACUUUGCGCGAUUGAAUGAGCCGAUGUCGGAUUAGCUAGUUGGCGGGGUAAAGGCCCACCAAGGCGACGAUCCGUAGCUGGUCUGAGAGGAUGAUCGGCCACACUGGAACUGAGACACGGUCCAGACUCCUACGGGAGGCAGCAGUGGGGAAUAUUGGGCAAUGGGCGCAAGCCUGAUCCAGCCAUACCGCGUGAGUGAAGAAGGCCUUCGGGUUGUAAAGCCCUGUUGUUAGGAAAGAACAGCAGCGUGUGAAUACGCGGCUACUCUGACGGUACCCAAAGAAAAAGCACCGGCUAACUUCGUG